GGGCCCGUAGCUCAGUUGGGAGAGCGUCGCCUUUGCAAGGCGAAUGUCGCAGGUUCGAGUCCUGUCGGGUCCA
rnacentral:tRNA from 1 species